GCCUGGCUGGCUUAGUCAGUAGAGCAUGUGACUCUUGAUCUCAAGGUUGUGAGUUCAAGCCCCAUGUUGGGCA
rfam:Ailuropoda melanoleuca scaffold1614_1, whole genome shotgun sequence.